rnacentral:lncRNA from 1 species
CUCACGGGGCUCUGGCUAGCUCGUUCCUCUAACUCCUCCUUUCUUUUGUGUGCGGUUAAAAAAAGAAGGAAGAAAAUACGCACAGCCUACAGACACAACAUCAACAAGACGAGAAGCCCCGCGGAGUUCGCAGGAGGUGAGGCGGCGGCUGCGCCACCCGUUCGGCUUCCCCAAACUCCAAGCCCGGCGCAGGGAAGCGGCAGCUCGGUAGCGGCCCCGGGCGCCCCGGCCCAGGGCACGCCGCUCGGCCGGGCAGCCAGCGCGGGGAGGCUGGCACUCGCGGCGCGGUCAGGGCGCCGCCUUCACCCCUGGGCGGGCCGCCAGGCGGCCCGGCUGCGCCCAGCCAUCGCUUGCGCGGCGGCCAGCUGGCGGGUGGCGCGGGGGCCCGCGGCCAGGUGUCCGCUCCGGGGGACGCGCCAGAGGCGCCCGUGCGCCCGGGGUCGACGGGGAGCCUGCGCUGCCGGGGCGGCAGUGAGCGCGCCCCCUCCACGCCGCGCCCUUUGUCCCGUGCCGCUGACACCCGGGCGCACGGCUCCAGGGCCCGCAUCCGCCGUGACCCCGGCCCCGGCCGCAGCCCAGGUCCCGGAGCCAACUCCUUCAGCCGCGCCGCCGCCGGGCCCGGCUCGGACUGCCGGGGCUCGGGGCGCGGCGGGCAGUGGGGACCGCCCGCGUCCGCUCGGCGCCCAACUCCGCUUGCCCAGCCACGGUGCCCUCAGCCCUGCAGGGGCCGCCCCGCGUGUUACCUGCAAGGAGCCCGAGCGGCGGCCGCAUCUCCCCGGCGGACGCGGGCAGUCCGGCGGCUACGGGAGCCUGCCCCGAGCUGGGCAGGGGGAGGGGCCGCGCGCGCCGCGCCCCCGCCCCCCGCCGCGUUCCCCGCCCCGCGGCGCCCGCGCCGCGCGCUCGCCCGCAAGGCCCGCAGCUCCCCACGCGCGCGGGCGCCCCCCUCACAUCUCCGCCGCCUCGGCCCGCCCUCUCCUCGCGGCCAUUGGCUAUACCUGCCGUCACUUUCGCGGGCGCCGCGGGUCCCUCUCCAGCUCAUUGGCGGACGCGCCGGUGACGUCAGGCCAGGGGCGCGAGCCGCGGCGCAGAGAGCCGCCAGCGACUGAGAGGCGGACUCAGCGCCAGAGGAGGAAGCGGAGUCCUGGGCGUGGAGCCCCGGGUGGGGCUCCGGCGGCUGGAGGCGGCGGCCCCGGGCGGCGGGCUGCGGGGGCCGCCGCUGGCCUGUAG